CAGCAGCCGCGGUAAUACGGAGGGUGCAAGCGUUAAUCGGAAUUACUGGGCGUAAAGCGCACGCAGGCGGUCUGACAAGUCAGAUGUGAAAUCCCCGGGCUUAACCUGGGAACUGCAUUUGAAACUGUCAGGCUGGAGUCUUGUAGAGGGGGGUGGAAUUCCAGGUGUAGCGGUGAAAUGCGUAGAGAUCUGGAGGAAUACCGGUGGCGAAGGCGGCCCCCUGGACAAAGACUGACGCUCAGGUGCGAAAGCGUGGGGAGCAAACAGGAUUAGAUACCCGAGUAGUCCCUGUCUCUUAUAA
rnacentral:rRNA from 1 species